rnacentral:rRNA from 1 species
ACGGAAGGCAGCAGUGGGGAAUAUUGGGCAAUGGGGGAAACCCUGACCCAGCAACGCCGCGUGAAGGAAGAAGGCUUUCGGGUUGUAAACUUCUUUUACCAGGGACGAAGGACGUGACGGUACCUGGAGAAAAAGCCACGGCUAACUACGUGCCAGCAGCCGCGGUAAUACGUAGGUGGCAAGCGUUAUCCGGAUUUACUGGGUGUAAAGGGCGCGUAGGCGGGGAUGCAAGUCAGGUGUGAAAUCUAUGGGCUUAACUCAUAAACUGCACUUGAAACUGUAUCUCUUGAGUGCUGGAGAGGUAGACGGAAUUCCUUGUGUAGCGGUGAAAUGCGUAGAUAUAAGGAAGAACACCAGUGGCGAAGGCGGUCUACUGGACAGUAACUGACGCUGAGGCGCGAAAGCGUGGGGAGCAAACAGGAUUAGAUACCCUGGUA